rnacentral:rRNA from 1 species
AGCGAACGCUGGCGGCAGGCUUAACACAUGCAAGUCGAGCGGGCAUCCUUGUGGUGUCAGCGGCAGACGGGUGAGUAACGCGUGGGAACGUGCCCUUCGGUUCGGAAUAACUCAGGGAAACUUGAGCUAAUACCGGAUACGUGCGAGAGCAGAAAGGUUUAUCUGCCGAAGGAUCGGCCCGCGUCUGAUUAGCUAGUUGGUGAGGUUACGGCUCACCAAGGCGACGAUCAGUAGCUGGUCUGAGAGGAUGAUCAGCCACACUGGGACUGAGACACGGCCCAGACUCCGACGGGAGGCAGCAGUGGGGAAUAUUGGACAAUGGGGGCAACCCUGAUCCAGCCAUGCCGCGUGAGUGAUGACGGCCUUAGGGUUGUAAAGCUCUUUUCUCCGGGACGAUAAUGACGGUACCGGAGGAAUAAACCCCGGCGAACUUCGU